AAGUCGUAACAAGGUUCCCGUAGGUGAACCUGCGGAAGGAUCAUUAUCAUACAACUGAGGUGCAAAGGCUGUCGCUGACUUUUCGUCGUGCACGCCCGAGUGCUCUCAAACAUAUCCAUCUCACCCCUGUGCACCACCGCGUGGGUUCCCUUUUGGCUCGUUCCGAUGGGGGGCUCGCGUUUUCACACAAACUUGAUACGGUAUAGAAUGUCUUUGUUUGCGAUCACACGCAAUUAAUACAACUUUCAACAACGGAUCUCUUGGCUCUCGCAUCGAUGAAGAACGCAGCGAAAUGCGAUACGUAAUGUGAAUUGCAGAAUUCAGUGAAUCAUCGAAUCUUUGAACGCACCUUGCGCCCCUUGGCAUUCCGAGGGGCACACCCGUUUGAGUGUCGUGAAAUUCUCAAAACCUUUCUUUUGGUCUUAUCGAUCGGGGGAAGGGUUUUGGACUUGGAGGCUUUUGCUGGUUUCAUCUUGAAGCGAGCUCCUCCCAAACGAAUUAGUGGGGUCCGCUUUGCCGAUCCUUGACGUGAUAAGAUGUUUUCUACGUCUUGGGUUUGGCACUGUCACUUGGGCACCUGCUUCUAACCGUCUCAUUGACAAUGAUGGCGUUCCGGUCACCGCCGUUUAAUCGGCGGGAGGCUUGACCCACAAAAAACCUUGACCUCAAAUCGGGUGAGACUACCCGCUGAACUUAAGCAUAUCAAUAAGCGGAGGAAAAGAAACUAACAAGGAUUCCCCUAGUAACUGCGAGUGAAGCGGGAAAAGCUCAAAUUUAAAAUCUGGUGGCCUUUGGCCAUCCGAGUUGUAAUUUAGAGAAGCGUCUUCCGCGCUGGACCGUGCACAAGUCUCCUGGGAUGGAGCGUCAUAGAGGGUGAGAAUCCCGUCUUUGGCACGGACGCACCAGGGCUUUUGUGAUGCGCUCUCGAAGAGUCGAGUUGUUUGGGAAUGCAGCUCAAAAUGGGUGGUGAACUCCAUCUAAAGCUAAAUAUUGGCGAGAGACCGAUAGCGAACAAGUACCGUGAGGGAAAGAUGAAAAGCACUUUGGAAAGAGAGUGAAACAGUACGUGAAAUUGUUGAAAGGGAAACGAUUGAAGUCAGUCGCGUCGUCCGAGACUCAGCCUCGCCUCGGCUUGGUGUACUUCUCGGCCGACGGGUCAGCAUCAAUUUUGCCCCUUGGAUAAUGGCGAGGGUAAUGUGACACCUUUACAGGUGUGUUAUAGUCUCUCGUCGCAUGCAAGGGUCGGGAUUGAGGAACUCAGCACGCGCCUUUGGGCGUCGGGGCAUCUGCCCACGAUACGUGCUUAGGAUGUUGGCGUAAUGGCUUUAAACGACC
rnacentral:rRNA from 1 species